UCCACCUGGAAGCACGAGGCCACGCCCACUGUAGAUAAAUGACGUGUCUCCAGACGCGCCCCACAGCAGCUGGGAACCGCUGGAUCUCUCCAGUAGAAACACUGAACGGGCGUCCGUGUCCUCGUCCGUGUCCUCGUCCUGCAGCGUCCACACCCUGAUUGGAAAGCUGAAGCCGUCCGCUCUGUUCAUGGUUGACGGGCGGGCAAAGCGCACCUUUCCGCUGGGCGUGUUCUCGGCGGGGGGGGGGAGGUGAUGGAACGUCCCACAGGUAGAACGAGGCAGCUCGUGUCGCCUCAUCAAAAGCGCCACGGCUCCUUUUCGAGAGGGAGCGAGUUCACACGUCGGCCGUUUGCUUUCCGCAGCGCGCUCCGUCUUUAUUAGCGGCCUCCCAGAGGAUUGUAAAGGCCCACGUUUGCUGUUACAAGCUGGUCUCUGAUCAGCUAAUGUUCACAUCCCACAGCAAUGAGCUCAGCUCCCUGCAGCCCGGAGAGGAAGCUUCUGGGAACACAAGGACACCAACGUUACGCUCAUCGGUUUAUCGACGGAACGCAGGCCCUCAAAAGACACGGCACGCAUCAACAGAACAGCCCCCCCACCCCCCGAACCCCCCCCCGAUCAAAAUGCAUCGAGCUGACUACAAAGGAGUGUGUGCCGGGAGGAACGCACCUUUUCUCCAGAGUCGACCUCUGAGAUUUAAUCAGAGCGCAGAUAAUCCAUGUGGUCUUGUAAGUACACGAGCUUCUGAUCCUGGAGGAGAGGAGGUGUCAGCUGACGUGGGUCUGAUCAGCAGUCAAGCGCCGGCGUCUCUGAGCGGACGGGGACGAGGAGCUGGAGGUCACAGAGCGACUCGAUGCCAUCGGGACCAAACGGGAGGGAGAGCAGCGCAGGACGGAGAGUCGGCCAUCCCACUUCUCAGAAAGUGAGAAGAAGUCCAGGGGAGAGACGCUGACUCUGAUGCUUCCAUCCAUCGUCACGUGGAAAGAUUAUUCCCACCUUGUUGUUAUUUACACAAUAUUAUGAACAAUUUCAGUCAACACAAUCUUCUCAAACAUUAAACGAAAGCAAAGCUCAAUUUUUCCUUGUUUCUAAAAAAAUACUUUUACGUUCGUUUGGUUUUUGACGCUUUUAACGUUUGUAUCAGACACAUGAGACGUUUUUCUGGUUGAUUAAUCUGCAGCUCGGCAGUGAGUUAUUAAAGUGUAUACAACAAAUAACAACACAAUAAAAACACAAUUCGUGUAUUUGGUUUGUCCCUCGUUAUCCGUGUUGUUAUCGGCUGAAUAAAAAAGUUCUGUGUUAAUGAA